CGGGAAAAGUCCCUAGACAAGUCUUCGACUCAAAAACAAGCACUUGGGGGCUACUGACGUGGUUAUGACUAACCACGUACUCGACUCGAGUAUACCCGGUACAGCCCAGCUGGGGGCCCACAAAGAAGCCUACUACGACUCCAGGAGUCUACAUGCCAAAUCUUGCGACUCAAGACAACGAAAAUUAAUUAGAGUAUAUUCCUUCAUUGUAACCGACUUAGACUCUACCUUAGACUUGGGUUCCUGCAUAUAUAAAGGACCAGGAGGGGGAGCCAAUGACACCACCCAACUUAGAUACAAGUCGCCUAGACGCACUCAUUGACUCUGUGCAUCUAGACACUGCGGCACCCCAUUGUAAUCGACUCUGCAAUACAGAUCUGACAAUCAGGACGUAGGGGUAUUACCUCAUCAAGGGCCCUGAAUCUGGAUAAAUCGUGUCCCAUGUGUUCUUGUUAGCCGACGAGUUUGCCAACACACACUCGAAAUCUUUCCUUCAUACAAGUCCAUCAAUAUGGACCUUGUCGAAAUCACAUCUUCGUCAAGUGGCCACAUCCUGCAGGAGAAGGGUGACUGCAUGGCACCACAUGGCCAUUGUGCAACCGCACGCAUACAAUUGAUCAGGCUCCAGACACGCGUUCCGGGCCGAUGGCACGUGUUCUCUCUUCUUCUUUUCUUUUCUGAAAGUAUGCAGGGUGCCAUGGUUAGGCAUAGUAUUUUUUUUUUCCAUCAUGUGGUCGUAACUGGGGUUAGUCGAUAGGAUUUUUUUCCCAGAAGCAUCCCUUUUUCUUAACUCCUAUAAAAGAGUCAUUUGGUGGUGGCGGUACGUCACCACUUCUCUGUCUCUUAGAGAUGGAUAGGGUGAUGCAUAUAAUUUUGAACUGAUCUAUUUGUCUUGUGCAAAUUGUAGAUGUGGUCUCAGUGCAUAGAUUAGGUGCUUUGGCCUAGAUAGGAUUAUCCCGUGGGACCCUCUGUCUUUUGUUGCCUACACUUUGUGCUCACUUUCUGUUCCUCCUAUGGCAUAAUUCCUUUUCUAUUGAGCUAAUUUUCUUUUCUGUGGUAUGUUCACCGGAAUCUUUUUUUAUCCGUUGUACAAACCAUAACACCUCCUAUAGCAUAAUUCCUUUUCUAUUGAGCUAAUUUUCUUUUCUGUGGUAUGUUCAUCGGAAUCUUUUUUUAUCUGUUGUACAAACCAUAACACGAUUGAAUGCAAGUACCGGCUUAUUGAUUUGUGAUUGAUGAAACACAAAAUUUGAUCUAUGGAUUUGUUACCUGCCCAUGUGAAAGCAGGUUCUUUGUAGCAAGAGAAGUAGGAGGAUUCAUUGUGUGUCAAAAAAAUUUGUAUAGAGUUUCUUUGUAGUAAGAGAAGUAGGAGGAUUCAUUGUGUGUCAAAUCUUUUUUCAUAAGAGUUUUGAUACUGAAGAUCAGUGUUUUUAGGUUCGGACAAUGCUGAUUUUGUAUUUGAUUGGAGGUUUAACUUGUACUAGCCGGGUACGCGCGCUUUGCCGUGCCGACAAAGAGUGGCGACAAAGAGUGAAUUGAUUAGUUGACAACUUUUUUCGGUCCCUCCUCAAAAAUCCAAUUCUUUUAUUUUUCCUCUUUGGAAAUCCACGGCUAACGGGCACAAGCCAAAAUGGCGACACGUUGAUCCUGUUUUUUCUAAUCAUGCAGCCGUUGUCUUUUUUCGCUUAACACAACUUAGAAUUAAUGCACAUUUCUUCUUACAUUUAAAACAUGAGAUUCUUUGAAUAUUAAUCACAAAUAUUUUGCCUACUAAAACGCGAUCAUCAAUUUUCACAGAAAAACAAAUAAAUUUGG
rnacentral:lncRNA from 1 species